rnacentral:tRNA from 1 species
GAUUUAGCUCAGUGGCAUAAGUACCUGCCUUGCAAGCAGGUGGUCGUGAGUUCAAUUCUCAGUAUCG